rnacentral:piRNA from 1 species
UAAAAAUUGUAGUAAUAUUUUCAUUUUCCCU